GCAAAGAACUGCUCCCCUACUAUCUCCAAGCAACAAGGAAGACCUCAAAAUCCUCAUCCAGGUCUUCCUGGGGCCUCCAGAAAACUUGUUUAAUCCAAUAUAUCUCAGCAGAGUUUGGGUGUCAAGCCUUUCUUUUCGUGAUCUCUUCCCUUGCCUUUAUUUCUCACGAUGGAGGAUUUGUAAUCCAAUGGGUAUAACUCAGGGGCUGUCAAGACUGAUGAUUAAAAUGUGGACUGUUUGAACGUUAAUGUACAGGGUAGCAUCCUUCCCAAAUUAGAUUCACCUGGAGCCCCAGAACACGAUGCUAUUUCAAGGUAGGGUCUUUGCUCAUGUAAUAUGGUAAAAUGAGGUCAUGCUCAUUAAGGAUUAAGGUGGGAGUCCAGUCCAAUCACUGGAGUCCUUGAAAGAAGGCCACGUGGAGACACACACACACACGGAAGGAGAAUGCCACGUGAGGGUGGAGACAGGUUGGAGGGACAUAUCUAGAAGCCAAGGAACGCCAGGGGCCAGUGGCGGCCACCAGGAGAAAGGCAAGGGAUGAUGCUCCUCAGAGCCCCCAGGAAGGAACGAGCCCUGCCGAUACCUUCAGUUUGGACCUCGAGUCUCCGGAACAGCAGAAACAGGCCCACAAAGAUCCCGUUCCUCCCUCACAUCUGCGUCCAGAAUAUUUCUAGAAGACCCAAGCUGUUGUUUGCCAGGAAAUGCUUUAAAUUACACAAAGCCUCGAGGGUGCAAAGCAGUUCAUUUCCAAGCUCUGGCUAUGACAAAAUAAAUUACUUCAGCGCUUCAUUUCUUAUUCACUAUUUGUAGUGAAUUUGCUUGGAUAACACACGCACACCUUAACAGCGAUCGCUGUAUGGAUUUUUCACUUUUUCUGAAAUCAUCUUAGAUUACUCUCCUAAGGAAAAUAUUGUCACAAAACCUCCUUUAAAAGAGAGGUGCUGUAUCUGCUGUAAAAGCUGAUUGCUGAUGGAGAGGUUCUCCUCAGAUAAGAGGCUGAAGCUCAAGGUUGAUGAGCAAAGUGUGAGUGGGAUGCUGUCGAUAACUUUCAGCACGCGAGACCUGGUGACGUCUCAGGGGUCCAUGGAGUCAUUGUCUUUAAGGGGCUAGAAGGUUCCAGGAGAUCAUGAGGCAGUCUUCCGCAUCAGGACGUUGCCAGCAUGCAGUGAGGAGCCUCUUGCUGCGGUGAGGAGGGAGGUCCUCAGGAAACGGCAUGCUGGCCUCUGGGCGCAGAACCUCCACCCUUGUUUGGCUGGUGUCUUGUUGCAGCUGGUGGAUGACUUGUAGUUUUAUGUGCAGAAAAGCUCCUGUUGGGCUCCAGCCAGGCGAGUCACCACUCAAAGAGGGGGUCCAGCCGGGCCAUCAGACUCUUCAGGUGUCGCCCUGUCUGGGCCAGCUGUUGUGUCAGUUGGACCAGCUGUUGAACAGUCUGAGAUGGGAGACAGCUCAGCGAGUGGACAAGGCCUAUGUCUUGGGGAAGGUGGCUGAUGCGGCUGAGGACACGGCUGUUUCACCGGCAGAGCCAGGAUGCAAUCCCUGUCUGCCUGAUUCAAAAGAACUGCUCUUAUUUUUCACCCAGAGAAAAAGAGAGGUGACUCCUGCUUUAUAGUUGUGAGAAUCCCAUGAGAAAAUCAACACAAGGUGUCCAGCAGAACUCUCUACGCACAGUCGACAUGUUCACUCCCAGAAACUCUUCAUUGCCUUCUCUCUGUAAUCAGAAGUGACCAAUCGCUGCUAAACCACGACACUGAGAACACGGCUGGUCCCAGCCCCGUGCCUGGGCGUCACUCCGCUCCCACAUGGCGCCCAGUUUCUGCUUGGUGUUCUAAGAUGGGCUUCUUGGGGUAGUGUUCCUCCUCUGGCUCCUCUCCCAUAUGGUGGUUUAAUUGCUAAGUUGUGUCCGACUUUUGCAACCCCAUGGACUGUAGCCCACCAAUCUCCUCUGUCCAUGGGAUUUUUUCCAGGCAAGAAUACUGGAGUGAAUUGCCAUUUCCUUCUGCAGGGGAUCUUCCCGACCCAGGAAUUGAACCCGUGUCUCCUGCGUUGCAGGCAGAGUCUUUACCGACUGAGCUACCAAACGCACAAUAGCUACAAAAAUGAGAAACAGCAUGGCGGUCGUGGUGAGGUUCCAAGACCAUCAUCAAUUCUUAUAAAAAAAAAAUCAUUCUCUUUGAAUGUGGUGCUUAUCUGGGUACCGUGCCAAACUCAGUCUAGGACAGACACUGGGAUAAGUUGAGGGUGGGAAGAGCGUCUCCUGACUAACCCACCAGCUAUAGGAAGUUUUUCUAGACCCAAGGGUUCUCAACCUCACUGGAUCCAACUCCCCCCUUUUUUAAUGAAUACUCUAUAUUAUUAC
ensembl:lncRNA